rnacentral:lncRNA from 1 species
CCACACUGCAGCGCUGUUGGGCGGCUUCAAGGGGGGUUCCGGGAACGCGAGAGCAAACCGGGAAAGGAGACCAGCUUCGCCGCGGUUUGCUCUCGCGUUCCCGGAGCCACCCAGCAAACCGCAGGGAAGGAGACCUGCUUGCUCGGGGUUCCGGGAACGAGAGAGCAAACCGGGAAAGGAGACCAGCUUCGCCGCGGUUUGCUCUCGCGUUCCCGGAGCCACCCAGCAAACCGCAGGGAAGGAGACCUGCUUGCUCGGGGUUCCGGGAACGAGAGAGCAAACCGGGAAAGGAGACCAGCUUCGCCGCGGUUUGCUCUCGCGUUCCCGGAGCCACCCAGCAAACCGCAGGGAAGGAGACCUGCUUGCUCGGGGUUCCGGGAACGAGAGAGCAAACCGGGAAAGGAGACCAGCUUCGCCGCGGUUUGCUCUCGCGUUCCCGGAGCCACCCAGCAAACCGCAGGGAAGGAGACCUGCUUGCUCGGGGUUCCGGGAACGAGAGAGCAAACCGGGAAAGGAGACCAGCUUCGCCGCGGUUUGCUCUCGCGUUCCCGGAGCCACCCAGCAAACCGCAGGGAAGGAGACCUGCUUGCUCGGGGUUCCGGGAACGAGAGAGCAAACCGGGAAAGGAGACCAGCUUCGCCGCGGUUUGCUCUCGCGUUCCCGGAGCCACCCAGCAAACCGCAGGGAAGGAGACCUGCUUGCUCGGGGUUCCGGGAACGAGAGAGCAAACCGGGAAAGGAGACCAGCUUCGCCGCGGUUUGCUCUCGCGUUCCCGGAGCCACCCAGCAAACCGCAGGGAAGGAGACCUGCUUGCUCGGGGUUCCGGGAACGAGAGAGCAAACCGGGAAAGGAGACCAGCUUCGCCGCGGUUUGCUCUCGCGUUCCCGGAGCCACCCAGCAAACCGCAGGGAAGGAGACCUGCUUGCUCGGGGUUCCGGGAACGAGAGAGCAAACCGGGAAAGGAGACCAGCUUCGCCGCGGUUUGCUCUCGCGUUCCCGGAGCCACCCAGCAAACCGCAGGGAAGGAGACCUGCUUGCUCGGGGUUCCGGGAACGAGAGAGCAAACCGGGAAAGGAGACCAGCUUGAUUACCAGAGGCUUCCUCCUUCCACGGAGGUCAAGAAAAGCGCUGGUAACUGUCUACAUUGGAUUACCAGCGCUGGAUCACCAGCGCUGGAUCCUCUACACCCGAGACAAAACGGGAGUACGGCCAGCGCUGCAAACAGGGAGUUGCAGCGCUGGUGGUGCCCUGCAGAUGUGUACAC